UGUCUAAAACAAGACUUGGACAGCAACAUCACAUCCAUCAUCUGUAUUGUCCUCAAAACUGAGGUGACCUGCACAUGCCGUCAAUGAAUUACAGAGGCAAAUACAGUUUCUAGGAAAAGCGGAGCCUCCCCUCACCUCCGACGUUUAUGUCAAGGGGGAUAAACUAGGCCCUCAUUCUCCUGAGAAGUCCUGGAGGGCUUGCUGUGAUUGCCAACAGAAUAGUGGAUUAAAUAAACCUAACUCCUGCUCCCCCUGCAAGGAAGCCUCAGCAUAUCUGCAGGAAACCUCAUGAUUCAUUUCAAUUUACUUUCUGAUGUUUCACAAUUUUGGCAUUCCCGUUGAUGGUAUCUCUCACUGAUCUUAAAAAUAGCCAAAUAUGAAAGCACGUAAAAUUUUGGAUAAAUCGAAAGUGCUUUCUGAGGAGGGAAGUGUGGAGGACCUCUGACCUGAACUUCCAAGCAUAAGAAGAUGGACAGGAUGGCAGAAGUGAGAAUACCCAAUUUACAGUUGGGAACAUGAAAGGUG